rnacentral:ncRNA from 1 species
CUUUUAAAACCUAAAUAUCCUUGUAUAAGUUCAAGAAUAAGGCUUGAUCGUUUCUACCAGCUACCAUAAAUAGCUUGUCUACAAGGAAUAUCAAAUAAAUG